rnacentral:rRNA from 2 species
AGAGUUUGAUCAUGGCUCAGAUUGAACGCUGGCGGCAGGCCUAACACAUGCAAGUCGAGCGGUAGCACAGAGAGCUUGCUCUCGGGUGACGAGCGGCGGACGGGUGAGUAAUGUCUGGGAAACUGCCUGAUGGAGGGGGAUAACUACUGGAAACGGUAGCUAAUACCGCAUAACGUCGCAAGACCAAAGUGGGGGACCUUCGGGCCUCAUGCCAUCAGAUGUGCCCAGAUGGGAUUAGCUAGUAGGUGGGGUAACGGCUCACCUAGGCGACGAUCCCUAGCUGGUCUGAGAGGAUGACCAGCCACACUGGAACUGAGACACGGUCCAGACUCCUACGGGAGGCAGCAGUGGGGAAUAUUGCACAAUGGGCGCAAGCCUGAUGCAGCCAUGCCGCGUGUGUGAAGAAGGCCUUCGGGUUGUAAAGCACUUUCAGCGGGGAGGAAGGCGAUAAGGUUAAUAACCUUGUCGAUUGACGUUACCCGCAGAAGAAGCACCGGCUAACUCCGUGCCAGCAGCCGCGGUAAUACGGAGGGUGCAAGCGUUAAUCGGAAUUACUGGGCGUAAAGCGCACGCAGGCGGUCUGUCAAGUCGGAUGUGAAAUCCCCGGGCUCAACCUGGGAACUGCAUUCGAAACUGGCAGGCUAGAGUCUUGUAGAGGGGGGUAGAAUUCCAGGUGUAGCGGUGAAAUGCGUAGAGAUCUGGAGGAAUACCGGUGGCGAAGGCGGCCCCCUGGACAAAGACUGACGCUCAGGUGCGAAAGCGUGGGGAGCAAACAGGAUUAGAUACCCUGGUAGUCCACGCCGUAAACGAUGUCGAUUUGGAGGUUGUGCCCUUGAGGCGUGGCUUCCGGAGCUAACGCGUUAAAUCGACCGCCUGGGGAGUACGGCCGCAAGGUUAAAACUCAAAUGAAUUGACGGGGGCCCGCACAAGCGGUGGAGCAUGUGGUUUAAUUCGAUGCAACGCGAAGAACCUUACCUGGUCUUGACAUCCACAGAACUUAGCAGAGAUGCUUUGGUGCCUUCGGGAACUGUGAGACAGGUGCUGCAUGGCUGUCGUCAGCUCGUGUUGUGAAAUGUUGGGUUAAGUCCCGCAACGAGCGCAACCCUUAUCCUUUGUUGCCAGCGGU